rnacentral:snoRNA from 1 species
GAGUAUGAUGAUAUGAAUUUUGUCGCCCCAGUCUUAGGAUCCGAAUUCCGGGCCUGUGCUGAUUGACAUGUUAUCAGAUCUGACUC